rnacentral:rRNA from 1 species
AUUGAACGCUGGCGGCAGGCCUAACACAUGCAAGUCGAGCGGAGCGGCGGACGGGUGAGUAAUGCCUAUGAAUCUGCAUGGUAGUGGGGGAUAAAGUCCGGAAACGGAAGCUAAUACCGCAUCCUAUACCCUGCGCUUCUGUCGGAUUAGCUAGUUGGUGGGGUAAAGGCCUACCAAGGCGACGAUCCGUAACUGGUCUGAGAGGAUGAUCAGUCACACUGGAACUGAGACACGGUCCAGACUCCUACGGGAGGCAGCAGUGGGGAAUCUUGGACAAUGGGCGAAAGCCUGAUCCAGCCAUGCCGCGUGUGUGAAGAAGGUCUUCGGAUUGUAAAGCACUUUAAGUUGGGAGGCGUUACCAACAGAAUAAGCACCGGCUAACUUCGUGCCAGCAGCCGCGGUAAUUC